rnacentral:tRNA from 1 species
UGGGUAGUAGCUCAGUGGUAGAGCAUGUGCUUAGCAUGCAUGAGGUCCUAGGUUCAAUCCCCAGUACCUCUA